CCCCUCUCAAGAUUGCACCUGGAGAGAUUCCAGUCCUCUGCCAGUCUCGGCUGUUGGAGGGUGAGUCAAGCAGAGGCCUGUCCAUUCCGUUCCUAGCUUGGGCAGUGGCUAGCGAGCGGAAGGCAAUCCGCUACAAGU